rnacentral:rRNA from 1 species
UACGUAGGGGGCGAGCGUUGUCCGGAUUUAUUGGGCGUAAAGAGCGUGUAGGCGGUCCGGUAAGUCCGCUGUGAAAGUCCAGGGCUCAACCCUGGAAUGCCGGUGGAUACUGUCGGGCUCGAAUCCGGAAGAGGUGAGUGGAAUUCCUCGGUGUAGCGGUGGAAAUGCGCAGAUAUCAGGAGGAACACCAAUGGCGAAGGCAGCUCACUGGGACGGUACUGACGCUGAGACGCGAAAGCGUGGGGAGCGACAGGAUAGACUACCCGGUAGCCAGCACCGAAGUCGUCCGUGCUAC